UCGGCGUGCUUAACACAUGCAAGUCGAACGGAAAGGCCCUGCUUUUGUGGGGUGCUCGAGUGGCGAACGGGUGAGUAACACGUGAGUAACCUGCCCUUGACUUUGGGAUAACUUCAGGAAACUGGGGCUAAUACCGGAUAGGAGCUCCUGCUGCAUGGUGGGGGUUGGAAAGUUUCGGCGGUUGGGGAUGGACUCGCGGCUUAUCAGCUUGUUGGUGGGGUAGUGGCUUACCAAGGCUUUGACGGGUAGCCGGCCUGAGAGGGUGACCGGCCACAUUGGGACUGAGAUACGGCCCAGACUCCCACGGGAGGCAGCAGUGGGGAAUAUUGCACAAUGGGCGGAAGCCUGAUGCAGCAACGCCGCGUGCGGGAUGACGGCCUUCGGGUUGUAAACCGCUUUCGCCUGUGACGAAGCGUGAGUGACGGUAAUGGGUAAAGAAGCACCGGCUAACUACGUGCCAGCAGCCGCGGUGAUACGUAGGGUGCGAGCGUUGUCCGGAUUUAUUGGGCGUAAAGGGCUCGUAGGUGGUUGAUCGCGUCGGAAGUGUAAUCUUGGGGCUUAACCCUGAGCGUGCUUUCGAUACGGGUUGACUUGAGGAAGGUAGGGGAGAAUGGAAUUCCUGGUGGAGCGGUGGAAUGCGCAGAUAUCAGGAGGAACACCAGUGGCGAAGGCGGUUCUCUGGGCCUUUCCUGACGCUGAGGAGCGAAAGCGUGGGGAGCGAACAGGCUUAGAUACCCUGGUAGUCCACGCUGUAAACGGUGGGUACUAGGUGUGGGGUCCAUUCCACGGGUUCCGUGCCGUAGCUAACGCUUUAAGUACCCCGCCUGGGGAGUACGGCCGCAAGGCUAAAACUCAAAGGAAUUGACGGGGCCCCGCACAAGCGGCGGAGCAUGCGGAUUAAUUCGAUGCAACGCGUAGAACCUUACCUGGGUUUGACAUGGAUCGGGAGUGCUCAGAGAUGGGUGUGCCUCUUUUGGGGUCGGUUCACAGGUGGUGCAUGGCUGUCGUCAGCUCGUGUCGUGAGAUGUUGGGUUAAGUCCCGCAACGAGCGCAACCCUUGUUCACUGUUGCCAGCACGUUAUGGUGGGGACUCAGUGGAGACCGCCGGGGUCAACUCGGAGGAAGGUGGGGAUGACGUCAAGUCAUCAUGCCCCUUAUGUCCAGGGCUUCACGCAUGCUACAAUGGCUGGUACAGAGAGUGGCGAGCCUGUGAGGGUGAGCGAAUCUCGGAAAGCCGGUCUCAGUUCGGAUUGGGGUCUGCAACUCGACCUCAUGAAGUCGGAGUCGCUAGUAAUCGCAGAUCAGCAACGCUGCGGUGAAUACGUUCCCGGGGCUUGUACACACCGCCCGUCAAGUCAUGAAAGUUGGUAACACCCGAAGCCGGUGGCCUAACCGUUGUGGGGGAGCCGUCGAAGGUGGGACUGGUGAUUAGGACUAA
rnacentral:rRNA from 1 species